rnacentral:lncRNA from 1 species
GGGAAUUGCAGGGAUCAUUUAUUGCUGAAGCUGUUAUAGAAAAUGUUGCAGCUACACUUUCAAUUGAUGUAGAUUCUGUCAGAAGCAUUAAUCUUCACACACACAAAAGUCUUCAAUCAUUCUAUGAUCAUUGUUAUGGCGAACCUUUUGAGUAUACCUUGCCAUCAAUAUGGAGUAAGUUAGCUGUUUCUGCAAAUUAUGAACAAAGAACCGAAAUGGUGAAAGAGUUUAACAGAAAUAGUAUUUGGAGAAAAAGGGGAAUUUCUCGAGUACCAGUUGUGUAUCAACUGACUCUAAGAUCAACUCCUGGAAAAGUUAGUAUUCUGUCAGAUGGGUCUGUUGUUGUUGAAGUUGGAGGCAUUGAAUUGGGUCAGGGUCUCUGGACAAAGGUGAAACAAAUGGCUGCAUUCGCCCUUGGUACAAUUCAAUGUGAUGGGACUGGAAGCCUUUUGGAGAAAAUAAGGGUUGUACAAGCUGAUACAGUGAGCUUGAUCCAAGGGGGCUACACUGCUGGGAGCACCACAUCAGAGUUAUGCUGUGAAGCAGUUCGACUUAGCUGUGAUAUCUUGGUUGAGAGGUUGAAGCCUCUCAAGAAAAAGCUGCACGAAAAAAUGGGCUCUAUCAAGUGGAAGGAACUUAUUCUUCAGGUAGCUAUACUACCCUAAAAUAAUAGGGCUUAAUUUCAAAUGUUGUUAGAUUUUCCUCUCGAGGAAGAAAGUUCCGAGACAUAAAAAUAUUUAAUUAUAUGUUGCUGACUAUUUAUCAAUCUACAGGCAUACAUGCAAUCUGUAAACUUGUCAGCGUCUUCAUUUUAUGUACCCAACAAUAACUCGACGAUGUACCUUAAUUAUGGUGCUGCAGUAAGUGAGGUAUUUUAUUUCCAUAUACACAUCUCAAACCUUCAUGGUAUAAUAAGUUCAUCAAAAGCUAUUUUUUAUGUUAAGUACUUAAAUUGUCACACGUGCCAUAUUACUGAAGUAACUGAGUCGAAUUAUUAUAUAUUAUUGUUCUAACUAGUGAAAAUUAUUUCUCAGGUGGAAAUAGAUCUUCUGACCGGAGAAACCAGAUUUCUUCAAACAGAUAUUAUCUAUGAUUGUGGGCAGAGUCUAAACCCUGCUGUGGAUUUAGGACAGGUAUGCUAAUUACAUAUUUGCUUUACAAGCUCAACCCUAAUCAAAGACUAUCUCAACAUAAGAGUUGGAGGGCUAUGAAUAUUUUUAUCUUCUCUCUUCUUCCCUUGCAAACCAAACAAAAUGAGGGUUCCUUUUCAUAGCCUCCUUUCAACCAAACACCAUAAUAUAUAUAAACGCGCAAGGGAUGGACCAGUUUGGUUUGUUCUCCUGAAUCAGUUAAUAACAAUUUGAUACCAUCGUGCAGAUUGAAGGCGGUUUUGUCCAGGGAUUGGGGUUCUUCAUGCUUGAAGAAUAUGAAACAGACCGUAAUGGUUUGUCAUUGGCAGACGGCACAUGGAACUACAAAAUCCCAACAAUAGACACUAUCCCUCAAGAGUUUAAUGUUCAAAUUCUCAACAGUGGACAUCAUCAACACCGUGUGCUUUCCUCAAAGGGUAUGGAUCAAGGCGUUAUAACUUCAUAUCACUUAUCUUUCAAUAGUAUGGAAAAAUGGAUUGUUAGUUGUAACAACUUAUAAGCAUUUUGCAGUUCAUGUUGUUUUUUGUGAGUUAAUGAAGUCGAGAAAGCUUCAUGCGAAUCAGUUUAAAAUUCUUAAUUACAACAUCUAAAACAUUCUCUCAUCAUUAAAUGAGAUUUUAUAGUUUAAAACUCUUAAUUGAGAAAAUGAUAUGAAAUCUGUGUUGCAGCUUCUGGCGAGCCUCCCCUACUACUAGCAGUUUCAGUUCACUGUGCAACAAGAGCGGCUAUCAAAGAAGCAAGGAAACAGCUUCUUUCUUGGAGUGACUUGGAUGAACCUGAUUCAAUAUUUCAAUUGUGCGUUCCUGCAACCAUGCCUGUGGUAAAGGAACUUAGUGGACUUGACAUUGUAGAAAGAUACCUGAAAUGGAAGAUGGGCAGGGUGUAAAAGUGCUUAUUAUGCUUUAAAUUUCAGAAGAUUGGUUUUAAUACUUGUAUACUUACAAUAAGACACAGGUAGCUUUUGCAACAAGGAAAAGGAUAUUCUCUCAUUUGGAAACUUCAUGUAAUAUUAUUGUCAUCUUGAACUUUGGUUGUAUAUUUUGAGGUAUAUUUACAAUAAGACACAAGAUAGCUCAGGAGGGUAGCUUUUGCCACAAGGAAAAGGACAUGCUGGAUAACAAAGUGGAUUCUCCCAUCUUGGAACUUCAUGUAAUAUUGUAAUAUUUAUAGAUAUUGAUUUAUGUAUUAAAAUAUUCAUUGAUGAAAUGGUACUAGAAUAAUUAUUCAGUUGAGUGAACACUUUGAAUUUAUGGAACCAUUCUUUCAUUUUCAAAAUUGAUUACAAUAUAAAUUGUGGAUCAAGUCUAUUUAUAGACCAGUUAACCUGCACACAUGCUUCAACAAUCUGUAACUAACUUGCAUGGUUUUGAUAGGCUAUGUGAGGUCUACACUACUAGUGGUAUAACAUAACUUCCUUACAACAUUCUAGAGUUGCUAUUAAGUAAUUGAAAUGAAAUAACAUAACUUGGUUCAUAGAGAAGUAAAUCUGAAAACAAAAACAUCUUAUAUUCCAGAACUUAAACUUUGAUAAAUGAUAAAUAAUAAUGCUAGCAAACAAUGCAUCCAUGAUGCAAGAAGUAUUUCUUCUUUAUGUCACUGAACAAAACAACUUGUUUUCUUUCUCAAUGAUGGACUUGAAAAUACGAUCGAGGCAACAACAUUAGUAAGCACUUUAUGAAAACCAUCUUACUUGAUCUUUCCUGAGUUGCGUGCAGUUUUCUACAACAUGCUCUACUCCCUUCAAUGUGACAUUAGUACAACACAGUAAUACUAGUUGAAGUCCACGGAAACUCUUUGAAAUCACAUAAAGUGUUUGAUCAUCAACUUCUGUAAAUGAUAAGUUCAACACCUCCAGUUUCGGCACUUCAAAGUUCAUUUCAAGCAGCUUCACAUUUGAACAGAAGGAUAAGUUCAAAUGUCUAAUGUUACAGCACAUUCUUAAAACUUGAGCAAUACCUUCUUCUAUGCCACAAUAAUGGCUCAAAUCAAGCAACUGUAAAUUUGGGGAAACGGAAGCAAACAUUAUGAUGUUUUCAUCUGUUAACCAUUGAUUGUGAGCCAAACGGAGAUACUUUAAUUGAGGGUGUGCAGUAAAAUCCAUCAAAGAUCUAGAACUCUCUAGACUCUUUUUCCCAAUUUCUGUGUGUUCCAUUUUGAUAUCACUAAGUGAAGGACAACUCUUAAUGAGUGCAAAGACGGCAGAUAUUGUGAGUAAUGAACAACAAGUCAAAGUUUAUAGAUACCAAAUCACCCAGAAACAAAGACAGCUCCACAACAUGUGUAUCAGUCAGAAAAACAGCAUUUUGAAAGAUCCAAAUAUUGGAAAUGUUGACACUUGGAUAACAAAUAAAAGAUUCCAGAAUAACUAUAACCGGUGCAAUCUUGGAGAGCAAGUCUCGUUAAAGGAAGACAUUCGUUUGCAAUAGAGAAGAGCAAGUCAUCGGAAAUAUUGGAAGACAACAAAUCAAAACAAGUCAAGUACUUCAAAGUACUCACCAAGGAGGCAAUGAAUUGUGAAGUAAUGUAAGAUGUUNNNNNNNNNNNNNNNNNNNNNNNNNNNGUGCAGUUGUGGCGAGGUUGAACAUGGUAACACAGUUGCAGCUAAUAGAAAUAAUAGAAAUAUAAAAGCUAUUUCAAACCUUCCUGAUAAAAUCACAAUGCAAGUGACAAGAUUAUCAAUAAUGUAAUAAAUAAUCAAAAAAUUACAAACAGAACUAGAGGUGUACCUUUAUUCGUAUUGCAGAUUGAUAUACACUUAAAAAAAUAAUCCAAUGAACUCUUUAUAUAUUGAUAUUUUUCCUGAGAAUUUAUUUUGCUUCUGCUCAAAAGGAAAAGAUAUCAUUUACUAUUUUGUUUUUGGUUGGUAAAAAACAAUUUUUCUUCUGACUUCUUAAAACAAUUGAUUACACAGUUACUUACAAAUACAUUACUUCUUACUCAACUCACAAGUACCCUUUUCACAAGGUAAAUUCUUCGUUACCCAACUUGAAGAUCUUGUUUCAUUACUUGAGGUCAAUAUUUCUUACAAUUUCUUCACUGGUUCUGUACCAAAAGGUCUAAUCAAGUUAUUGAAUUCCUCACCAUCAUCAUUCAUGGGUAAUCCUCACCUAUGUGUCAAUUGUUUGAGUUGCAUUAAAACUAGUUAUAUAAAUUCAUGUGUCCACAAAUCAACUGAUCACAAAGGUAUCACUAAUGUUCAAAUUGUAAUGAUAGAACUUGGAUCUUCAAUAUUUAUUUCUGUUCUGUUGCUAAUGAUAAUUGGAAGGUAUCUCCGUAGAAAGGACUCGAAAAGGACAUCUGAUCUUAAGCAAGUGUUUUUUAAUGUAAGAGGAGAAGAAAGUUUUGAAUUCACAAAUGACAGUGAUUACGAAUUAAAGAUCUCAACUGAAAAGAUGUCUUCCCUUCGAGAGCAAGUGUUGGAGGCUACAGAGAACCUAAAAGAUGAGUAUAUUAUUGGGAGAGGAGCACAUGGUAUUGUGUACAAAGCCAUAAUAGGUCAACAGGUUUGUGCUAUAAAGAAGCUUGAAUUUGGACGCAACAAGUAAAGGCGGUUAAGUAUUACGCGCAAUGAAAUUAAAGUCCUUAGGAUCAUUAAGCAUCAAAAUCUGAUCAAAUAUGUUGACUACUGGAUUGGAAAGGACUAUGGUUUAGUCUUAUAUGAAUUCAUGGAAAAUGGAAGUCUUUAUGAAAUUUUGCAUGAAAAGAAACCCGCACCACCCUUAACACAGAAUGUUCGGUGUAAGACAGCAGUUGGAAUUGCUCAAGGACUAGCUUAUCUUCAUUAUGAUUGUAUUCCACCAAUAGUGCACUGAGACAUCAAACCAAAUUCUUGACAAUAAUAUGGAGCCUAUUAUAGCAGGUACUGCCCUAUGCAAGAAGCUGUUUCAGGAUUCUAAUAGUCAUUCUGAAACCAGGAAAAGACUUUCGUCGCACGUUGUAGGUACCCCUGGCUAUAUUGCACCGGGUAAUUAACUCUUCAUCCACAAUUACUAUUGAUUUUCAAACCCAUUUCAUAGACCAUAGUAAUUUGAUUUCUAGGAUGUGAUAAAAACUUUAUUUUCCAACACAGCUUGGAAGUGGAGUUUUGUCAGAUAGUAUUCUCUAACAUGUUUGCAUUGUCAUCUGCAACAGAGAAUGCAUAUGAUAUAGUGCCUGGAAGAAAGUCUGAUGUAUAUAGCUAUGGAGUUGUUUUGCUUGAGCUAAUAACUAGAAAGAAAUUAUUAGUUCCGUCUAUAAAUGAUGAGGUGAACGAGAUCCACAUAGUGACCUGGGCUGGAUCUGUAAUGAUGGAAACAGGCAAGAUUGAGAACAUUGUUGAUCCAUACCUUGUAAGUGCAUUUCCCAAUUCAAUGGCACUAACCAUUCAAGUCACUGCAGUGCUUUAGUUUGAUCUGGGGUGUGAUGAGGUUCAAUAUGGUGGUGAUGGACUUAUAAUUAAAUUGAUCGGAAAUGGUAAGAUUGCGUAUGAAAAGGUUGUCGGCGUUGCAAAUUUAGUUGUUCCAAAAAUAACCUAUGCUUGGUCUAGUUUGAUCUUUCUUCCCUCUAUCACUGGUCCAAUACUUACCAAACCAUUCAACUGGUUUUUCCUAUCACGUUGGGGUCAAUAUAGACAACUGCAGAGAUCCUUGUAUUCACAGCCCAAAUCAUACUACUUUAUAAACACCAAUCAAUCUGAGGCCACUCUCCAGACUAGUAAAUAGUUGUGGAAAAAAGUUCCAAAGAAAGGCAAUAAAUGGGAAGAGAGACCUUCAAAAAAUUGUGUGGAUGGAUGGUGAACUGCAUGUGCCAACCAGGGACACUAUUAGAGUGUCAUGUCAACAUCCAUAUGUAGUUAGCCAUUGUUCAUUAUCCAAUUUUGUCAACUAAUCUAAUCAUUUUUGCUGAUAAGUCAGUUUUAGGUUCAACAAUUUUGUUUCUGUACACAGGUACAGUUCUUCCUCCAAGAAUUACCAUUGUUUCAUUUAGGUCAAACUUGGUGCGCAACGUUUCUUGAGGAUUGCUUUUAAGCUUUUGAUCCAUAUUUACAAUUUUGGCACAUGGGUGUGACUUUUAGUCAAAUUUGUUUACAAUUAUCAGUUCUUGUUAAUGUCGAGUCUGCUAUAUAUAAAUAUGAAGUGAAAUAAUCUUGAUCAAUCUAGCUUAAUCUGCAACAUUAAAUAGAAAGUUCAGUUUACAUCAAGAAGGAUUUUGAAAAAUGUAGUCAAUUUUCCUAUAACAAAAAAUGUGAAAAGUGAAUCUGAAACUCCAUGGAUGAAUGAGUUUGUGUGUGAAGGAAGGAGAAAACCAGAAGAUGAGCUCAAGUUAGCUAAUGGUUUAUAUACAAUGUUCCAAUCAAAGCUAACUAACAAAUCACACCUAAAACCUAUUACAAGUAGUUAGUAGUACAACCAUAUAGCUUAAGUGUAGAAACUCAGUUAACUUGUUCCACAAGUAACUGAGUUUUCUCAAUAUCUUUCACAAAAAACAAAAUAGAAAUAUAAGUGACAUAGCUGUUUGGAAAAACAAGGUGACAAAAUAAAAGAACACAAUCACAACACAAAAAUAUAACGUGGAAACUACAAAACCGGAGAAAAAAUCACGGCCGACAACUAGAGAAUAAACACUAUAUAUAAAUUGUGACAAUAAACUUCACUCUCAACCACCCUAUGCCCCAGCACACUCAUACUCUCCAAAGUAAAUAUUUGAACUACAUCUCAAAUACUCUUAAACAAGAGCAUAAGAGAAAAGAAGAAAGAACAUAAAUAUAAACUUAGGUUGUUUAUAAGUGCUACUGUUUGGUGUAUUGAAACAAGGAAUUUGAGGUCUCUAUAUAAUAUACCAUUGAGCUCCUCCGCUCUUCACUUUUCUAAGCAAUGCGGGACUUCUAAAAUAUAAUCUCCUUGACCUUUUUUCCUUCAUUAGCGAUGUGGGACUUACAUUGCAAUCAACCCCAACGCCUUCUUAGCUACUGCAAAAUGAUGAACCAUAAUAGGCAGCAAUCAAAGGCAUCAUGCAGGUGCAUGAAAAUUACUUAUCGUUAGAGAAAAAAAAUAAAAAAUUCAAAGAAUCCCAUUUUGUACGGUUACUGACUAUUAGGAUGAAACACUUUCAGUGUCAAUCUUCUAAAUUUUGAAAAAUUAUAUGGCUUCUUCUCCAAAGAAGAAACUAUCUAUUUAUUACCAACUAUCUCUAAUAUAUAAAAAAUAAAAAUAAAAAACUCAUCGAAACAUUUCCCUAGCUCAAGUGGUUGGUGCACAAUCUCUAUGAAUGUUAUAACUUUUUUUUUUACUACUAGUAUUCGGUCUAUUAACAUUAGCGGACCUACGGGUGGGCUGAGGUGGGCCACGGCCUACCACCACCUCAAAAAAAAAAUAUUUUUUAUAUAUAUAUAUAGUAUUAAUUUAAAUGUAUUAUUAAUGAAUUUAAGUCACUCAGUAUAUAUAUUUGUACAAAUAUUAAUUUAGUGUUUAUUAUCGAUGAUUAUAAGUAACUCGGUACACCUAUUAGUUCAAAUUUUAGUGUAAAUAUUAGUUCAUAAUUAAUUGAAUUUAUAGUAUUAGAUAAAAUUAGCAAUUGAACUAGCAUAUAUAAAUACGAAAUGACAUAAAAAUAUAUGUUUAAUUAAUAAAAAUAUAUAGGUUGGUGCAUUGGUAUUGGCUUGGGACCUGGGGGUGUGCUCCUAUUGAGGUCUAAGGUUCAAUUCUCUCUGGUAGCUUCUUCCAAAAAAAUAAAUUUUUUAAUUCCCAUAUUUUCCAUUUGUUGCAAUAUUAGUCUUAUCUCAAUGUUUUUUUUUCUUUUUUGCCGUCAAAAUAGGGAAUUUUAAUGGAAAAAAAAAAAGUGAAUUUUGGUUUCAAAUUUGAUAUUUCAUUUUAGAUUCAAUGUUGAAGACAAGCUUUAUGACCAAAAAUCACAAUUUUAGAGUAAAAAGAUUGAUUGUUGGUACCAAAAUUGUAACAUAUGAAAAUAGAGGACCAAAAAAUUCAAUUUGAAAAUAGGUUGACUAUUGUUCGGCCCACUCACAAUAUUUUUUCUGAUUCCGCCACUGUCCACUGGACCAGCUAAUAUUGAAUGUUAUAAAUUUUAGGAUACCAAGUUCAGUUCCUACUUAUAAACUCAUUGAAUUACAUUGACAAAAAUGUAUUUUACUUGUUUAAAUUCAUCAUUCUUAAAACACUCAUCUUCUACUAUCUUUCAAUGUUUUUGUCUUUGUCUGGUACAUGCAAAUGGGAAUAUAUUAUAAUUGAACGACUCCAACUAGCAUAAGAUAUGUUAAGUUAGAAAGAUUUCAAGUUUCAAUAUCAGCCAUUGGAUACUAACAUACAUAAUGACCAUUUACUAUUGACUAUUGAGAGAUCCUCUCUCCUCAUUUUAUAAAGACUAGUAAUAGUAAUUUCAGUUUUUUCAGUUUUAAAAUUUAUCGUUGUUGAAUAGUUAAAACCUUGAAAAGUUGCAUACUUGUGAUCAUUUAAUUUUUUUGUUUUUGUACAUGUCUUAUAAAAAUUUCACCGUUAUUUAGUGUUAACUAAUUUUAUCGAAAAAUCUGUGGGCACAUAGUAGUUCUCACUUUUCAAUCGAACUUUAAUUUUUUUUUUCUAUACAUAAAAUGAGGAAUCAAACUCAUAACCAUUUAUUUAAAACAUCCGAUAUUAAUAUUACUUAUAUCAAUUUAUAAGUACAUGUCAUAUAUGCUUUUAGUUAAUAUAAGUGAUGUUUUUAAUACCAAAAGUUGAACAUUUGAGUGACAAAGAUGUGAACUUAAAAGAACAAAAUGACAUGAGAAAGAUGAAGCAACAAAAUAGUUCCAAGUAUUAACUUGAAAACAAAACAAAUCGAUGAAUAUUAAUUUUUUAAGUAUUAAGUGUGAGAAAAGUAGAUAAUAAUCCACAGUCCAUNNNNNNNNNNNNNNNNNNNNNNNNNNNNNACAUCCAAAUUACUAGUGUCUGACAUCUCAUAUUAUAAGAGAUUGAUUGAUCCAACUAUUUUGUCUUAUCUUCUCCUUAAAUUUAGAAGUUUGGUCAAACAAAGAUACUCUUGAUAAGAAAUAAAUUAUAAAAUAAUCUUAAACAUAUUUAAAUAAGAUGUUGUGAGUUUUUCUAACUUAAUCAAAUUCUACAUUUGAUCCCUAAUUUAAGCAUACAAUAAUGUUAAAAUAUUUAGAAUUUUUUUAUCAUUCAUUUAAAUCCUGCAAAAUUUGAUAGAAUAGUCUAUUGUAUUUAUGUGCAGAGAAUACUUAAUUUUCUCAGAAAAAAAAUUAAAGGAAGUAAAGUGAUUGUUGGUUUGUGAGUGAAUUUGGAUUCUAGAGAUGUAAAAAUAAAUCACAAAAAAUUAUUAUUGUCCCGUCUUUAUAAUUUAGGCUUAAAUGCACUUUUGAUCCCCCUAUUUUCAAAAAAAUGAAGUUUUGGUCCCCCUAUUUUAAAAACCAACUUUUUAGUCCCCCAAUUUUAAUUUUUUUUGAGUUUUGAUCCCCCAUUCCAUUUUNNNNNNNNNNNNNNNNNNNNNNNNNNNNNNNNNNNNNNNNNNNNNNNNNNNNNNNNNNNNNNNNNNNNNNNNNNNNNNNNNNNNNNNNNNNNNNNNNNNNNNNNNNNNNNNNNNNNNNNNNNNNNNNNNNNNNNNNNNNNNNNNNNNNNNNNNNNNNNNNNNNNNNNNNNNNNNNNNNNNNNNNNNNNNNNNNNNNNNNNNNNNNNNNNNNNNNNNNNNNNNNNNNNNNNNNNNNNNNNNNNNNNNNNNNNNNNNNNNNNNNNNNNNNNNNNNNNNNNNNNNNNNNNNNNNNNNNNNNNNNNNNNNNNNNNNUAAGCAAUUUAUGACCGUAAAUAUAACCUUAUUUAUAACAACUACUAUCAUUUAAGUAUUCAACAAUGAAUUUAUUUUAGAUUCGUUAUUUAAAAGUAUUUACUAUACAAUAAUCCAAAAGUAAAUAAGUAAAAUAACCAUAUCUAUAAGAAAGUCGUGCGAUAUAAUAUAUUGUACAAAUAUUUGCAUAAUUUUUUUUGGGAUACAAUUCAAAUAAGAGGAUGUUUGUUAUUUUUUUAAAAAAAAUACAUUUUAAGUCUUUUAUCUUAUUUAUUUUAUAAUAUAUAUUUUGAUUCUUUAACUUUUUUUGAUAACAUUUUGAUCUUUUAUUUUUGUUUUUGUAAUACUUUGGUCUUUUAUUUUUUUUAUUUGUAACAUAUAAGUCAUUUAUUUUUUAAAAUAAUACAAUAAGGGAUCAAAAUGUUAAAAAAAAAAAAAAAAUUUUUAAAUGAAAUGUUUAAAGUCAGACCCAUAACAAUAUUAUCAAUAUUUAUUUAGUAAAAAAAAAAUAUUAUGAAUAUUCGGAUAAUUUUAAAAUAAGUGUCUUAAAGUAAUAAAAAAAUAAAAAAUAAAUGAUGUGAGAUGUCUAGAAAGUAUAAACACAUGGCAGUAAAGAAUCGAGUGAAGCGGCGGGAAUCAUAGUACUAAUUUUCCCUCGCUACUAUACUCUCAUAAUUUCAACUUAUUUUAAUCACUUUUUUGUUCUUAUUCUUCUCUCUUUACGCAAUAAGCGAUUAUAAACAGUACAAGAUAACAGAUAAAUGCAGACACUGUUGGAGCGAGCUGUCCUUCCUUAUUUAAUUAGUUGACUCUUAGGAGAGAUUCAUGAAUAUAUAGUGAAAAUCUUUGAUUCAAGUGAAAAUCUAUGAAUAGUGAUUAAUUUUCAUUUUCUAUAUUAAUUCCUUGCCAUAUAUAGUGAUUAGUACAUCUGUAUAGCAUUUUCCAAUUCUAUAUUAAUUCUCUUGUAAAUUCAGUUUGUGACAUAGAAAAUCAGAUACAUACAUUAUUACUUGUACUUCACUGAAAAUCAGUAUGGAUGUGAAGAAGAACAACACUGAAAAUCAAACAAGUUUGAUUUUUGCUAUCAAUGGUGAGAAAUUUGAGCUAUACAACAUAGACCCAUCAACCACUUUGCUUGAAUUCUUGCGUACUCAAACUCCAUUCAAGAGUGUUAAACUUGGCUGUGGCGAAGGUAUAUCAUAAUCAUACAUUUAUAUGUCUGUUUCACUUAAUUGUUUGAUUCAUUUAUUCAUUUUUGUGAAGAAAGAUUCUUUUUUUAUUGUUAUUUUAAUUUCAAUAAGCUUCAUACUGACUUAGGGCUUGUUUGGAUUGACUUAUGUUUCAGCUUAUGAAAAACACCUUACUUAAAUAAAUAAAUAAGCUUUUGGGCCUGUUUGGAUUAGCUUAUUUUUUAGCUUAUGCAAUUUUUAUGUAUUAUUAUAAGUUUGUCAAAGGUAGUUUAUGAUAAAAUAACUUAUAAAAAUACAAUUUUCACUAGUGUGAACUUAUAAAAUAGCUUAAAACCUAAUUUAUAUUGCAUAAGCUCAAAAAUAAGCUAAUCCAAAUGGGCUCUUUAUGUAUUAUUAUAAGCUUAUCAAGGUAGUUUAUGAAGAAAUAACUUAUGAAGAUACAAUUUUCGAUAGUGAGAACUUAUGAAUAAACAAAAAACUUAUUUAUUUGCAUAAACUAUUUUUCAUAUUGUCAAAAAUAAGUCAAUCCAAAUGGGUCCUUAAUCAUUAUUUUUUUUUUGCCUAUGUUUGACUUGGUAUUUUUUUGCUGUUUAAUUGACUGUGAUACUGCUUUUAAUGAAUUAUAAAAUUUUCUGAUUGAAUAUGGUUAAUAUCAUACUUUCAUUAUUCUGAAUGUACUUGGUGAAGUUCUGAAUGAAUUUUUAUUGGAAUUAUUUUUCAAUUUCUGAUUGAAUGGAUUAGUACACUUUUUAUUAGAAUCCUAAGAAGAAGUAGAAGAGUUUGGUUCCUCUAAAGGGUUGAUAUACUAGAAUUAUGAUUAUUAAUUGAAAAAUUAGUGUUGAGAAUUUAAGGAUGUCAUAAUUUGUGAUACAUGUUUAUGUUUGAUUGUUUAUUGAAAAGCUAAUAGAUGAAUUGGACGAUGUUUUGAAAAUGGGAUUAUUCUGGUCGCAGUUUAGGGCCAAAGAAAUGCGAGACAAGAGCUAUAUAUAUAUAAUUUUCUUGUGGACCUAAUUUGAUCUCCUAGUCUGCUAGGAAACAACAAACGGUAGUACGAUCAAGCACUGAAGUCGAAUAUAGAACAUGGCUAAUUAAUAUUACAAAUUCUAACUCCCACACUGUUUUGUGAUAAUCUCAGUGCUAUACUCCUUUCCUACUGUUAAGGUAAUUUGUACUCACAAAGUGUGUUAUCAAUCAAUAUAAACUGAGUUUCAAUAAAAGAAUAUGCAAUACAAUCUCUCUUGACAAAGAUGAAGUAGUAGUAGUUUUUUUUGGUUGCAAAAUUUGAGAAAAAGUAACAAUGGUUCCUCGUAUCAUUAUUACUUUUUUUUUGGCCGUUGGUUUUAAAAAGCGAUGAAAAAUAGUCUACAAUUUUCUUUUAAACUUUGAACUUAAUGCUUUGGCGUUGUUGAUUGCAGGUGGGUGUGGUGCUUGCAUAGUUUUAAUAUCCAAAUAUGAUCCUUUACUUGAAAGAGUUGAGGAUUUUACUGCAAGCUCUUGUCUCACACUACUCUGUAGCUUACAUGGAUGUUCAAUAACAACAAGUGAAGGCAUUGGAAAUAGCAAACAUGGAUUCCAUCCAAUUCAUGAAAGAUUUGCUGGAUUCCAUGCAUCUCAAUGUGGCUUUUGUACUCCUGGAAUGUGUGUUUCCUUCUUCGGUGCUCUUGUCAAUGCUGAAAAGAACAACUGUCCAGAGCCACCCGCUGGUUUCUCAAAAGUUACUGUUUCUGAGGCUGAAAGGGCUAUUGCAGGGAAUCUUUGUCGCUGCACUGGUUAUCGACCAAUUGCUGAUGCCUGCAAAAGUUUUGCAGCUGAUGUUGAUAUGGAGGAUCUCGGGUUGAACUCAUUCUGGAGAAAGGGAGAGAGCAACGGCUUGAAGGUUAGUAAGUUGCCUGUAUAUCAUCACGAUCACAAGAAUAUCAAAUUUCCUGUUUUUCUGAAAGAUAUUAAGCAUGAUUUGUUAUUGGCUUCUGAGAACCACCGUUGGCACAAGCCCACUAGUUUAAAGGAGCUUCAGAGCUUAUGGAAACUAAACCAUGCCAAUGAAACCAGGAUAAAAGUUGUUGUUAGUAAUACAAGUAUGGGAUAUUACAAAGAUAACAAAGGCUAUGAUAAGUAUAUUGAUCUAAGUGGCAUUCAUGAGCUCUCACAUAUAAAAAAGGAUCAAACAGGGAUUGAAAUUGGAGCGGCAGUGACAAUAUCUAAAGUUAUUGAAGCACUAAAGGAAGAAAGCAGAAGUGACUCUCUUUCAGAUUUUGUAAUGAUACUUAAAAAGAUUGCAGACCAUAUGGGAAAAGUUGCCUCAGGUUUUAUUCGGAAUACAGCCAGUGUAGGUGGCAAUUUGGUGAUGGCACAAAAGAACAAUUUUCCAUCGGACAUUGUUACAAUUCUUCUUGCUGUAGAUUCAAUGGUUCAUAUAAUGAGUGGCACAGAAUUUGAAUGGCUGACAUUGGAAGAAUUUCUGGAAAGACCGCCAUUAAGUUUGGAAAGUGUGCUUUUAAGUAUUAAAAUUCCAUGUUUGGAAACUAUUAGAAGUACGUCUUCAGACCAAAGAAAUAGAUUAUACUUUGAAACUUACCGAGCUUCUCCUAGACCGCUUGGAAAUGCCCUUCCAUAUGUAAAUGCUGCUUUCCUUGUCGAGAUGUCUUCAAGCGAGGAUUCUGGUGGAUCCAUGAUAGAUGCUUGUAGGCUGUCUUUCAGUGCUUUUGGGAAUAAGCAUUCAAUCAGAGCAAAAAAUGUUGAGGAAUUUUUAACAGGAAAGUUGUUAAGUUUUAGCAUUUUGUAUGAAGCUGUCAACUUGCUUACGGCCACUAUUGUACCUAAAGAUAAAAACUCAAAAACAGCUUACUGUUCAAGUUUGGCAGCUGGUUUUGUUUUUCAGUUCUUUCACCCUCUAAUUGAAAUUUCUGCCGGAGUAACCAACUGUUACUUAAAUGGAAAUUCAAAUUUGCCUUUUGUGAAGGAUUUUGAAUUAAAACAGAAUCAGAAGCAAGUUCAUCAUGACAAAAUUCCAACUUUAUUGUCAUCUGGGAAGCAAGUCCUUGAAGCAGGAAACGAAUAUCACCCCAUUGGUGAGCCGAUCAUUAAAUCGGGAGCCACGCUACAAGCUACAGGUUUGUUUUGUGUCAUCUACAUUUGAAUUAAUUAACUGACUGAUUUCUAUAAGCCCUUUGCACUUAUUUUAUUCUGAUUUGGUGUCUGUCAAUUAUUACUUUUCAUAAAGAGUUGUUUUAAUUCUGGUCAAGUAUCAAAUAUUCACGAAUGAACCGUAUCCAGGUGAGGCUGUGUUUGUGGAUGACAUUCCUUCGCCUCCAAAUUGCCUACACGGAGCAUAUAUAUAUAGUUCAAAACCUUUAACAAGGGUAAGGAGUAUAAAACUUAACCCUGAAUUGGUGCUAGAUGGAGUAAGAGAUAUCAUUUCAAGUAAAGACAUUCCCAGUGGUGGGGAAAACGUUGGAGCUAAGACGAUAUUUGGCAUAGAACCUUUAUUUGCAGAAGAGAUAGCUAGAUGUGCUGGCGAUCGUCUGGCCGUUGUGGUGAGUUCUUGAAUCCCUCAUUUUUCUGGAGAUUAAUGUGUAUACACUUCCUUAUUAUUCACUAAUAGAUUUUUUAGGUUGCAGACAGUCAGAAACUUGCAGAUAUGGCAGCAAACUCAUCCAUUGUCGAUUAUGAUAUUGAAAAUCUUGAACCGCCCAUUCUAUCUGUUGAAGAUGCUGUUAAAAGAUCAAGCUUUUUUGAAGUUCCUCCUUUUCUCUACCCAAAACAUGUUGGUGAUAUAUCAAAAGGAAUGGCCGAGGCUGAUCACAAGAUUCUUUCUGCUGAGGUACAUGGAAUUAUAUUUUUUUGUUCUCCUUUCUUUCCCCUCUUGCUCCCCAUUUCACAACAUUAUGAUCAUCUACAUUGGUAUCUAAUCAGAUGUAUAAGUUAGCUUCUGUAUAAUUAUGAUCAUCUACAUUUUGUCAAACUUAUUCACUGUGAUCUAUUUGUUUUAAUGUGAAACCCAGAUGAAACUUGGGUCUCAAUAUUAUUUCUAUUUGGAGACACAAACUGCACUUGCUGUACCAGACGAAGACAAUUGCAUUACAGUUUACUCUUCAAGCCAAUGCCCUGAGUUUACUCAUUCUACUAUAGCAAGAUGCCUUGGUAUUCCUGAAAAUAAUGUUCGAGUUAUUACAAGAAGGGUUGGGGGAGGUUUUGGUGGAAAGGCAAUAAAAGCAAUUCCUGUAAGUAUGAAGUUGUGUAUUAUUCUUUUUAAAAAAAGUUAUUAAAUCAUUGUCACUUUUAAAGUACCAUUAAGCAAUAAAUAUUGCAGUGUGUAGACAUGACUCCUGGAUUUUCGGUAGUUUGGAGAAGUCACUGAUAUUAGAAGAUAAUGAAAAAAAGAAACUUGUGAAGAUAUCCAUUUGAAUUCAAACUAUAAAUAAAAAUAAAAAAUUUCAUGUCUAGGUUUUUCAAAAAGGUCACAUGAGUGCUUGGUAAAGUGAUCUUUGUAACGGUUUUGUGUUCAUGAAUGAAGAUUCUCAUUUAGGGGUGAAUAUCAAUAGCUUCUUUGCAGUACUCACUAUAAAUAUUAACUACAUUGUGUUGUAUGAUACUAAAUUGUUCAUGCUAAGAUUUGCAUUAUGUACUUUUGUCAUUUUCAUUUCCUAAUUGUCCCAAAACAUUUGGUGCUUUAGCCUUUCCCUUUGUUUACAUCAUACUAGUGAUCGCAGAAAUUAUUUAUUAGUAGAAAUUAUGCAUGAAAACUAUAUAAAAAUUUACAAAUAUAUCCCAUGCACUGAUAAGUGACAAUCAUAUCAUGCAGACAGCUAUAUCUUGUGCACUCGCAGCACAGAAAUUAUGUCGCCCUGUCAGGAUGUAUCUAAAUCGAAAGACAGAUAUGAUAAUGGCUGGAGGAAGGCAUCCCAUGAAGAUAACAUACAAUGUUGGGUUCAAGAAUGAUGGGAAAAUUACUGCAUUAGAGCUUGAGAUAUUGGUCAAUGCUGGUAUAUAUUUGGAUAUAAGUGUAGCAUUGCCACAUAACAUAAUUACUGCACUAAAAAAGUAUAACUGGGGUGCGCUAUCUUUUGAUAUAAAGGUGUGCAGAACAAAUCUUCCCAGUAGAUCUGCAAUGAGGGGCCCUGGGGAAUUGCAGGGAUCAUUUAUUGCUGAAGCUGUUAUAGAAAAUGUUGCAGCUACACUUUCAAUUGAUGUAGAUUCUGUCAGAAGCAUUAAUCUUCACACACACAAAAGUCUUCAGUCAUUCUAUGAUCAUUGUUAUGGCGAACCUUUUGAGUAUACCUUGCCAUCAAUAUGGAGUAAGUUAGCUGUUUCUGCAAAUUAUGAACAAAGAACCGAAAUGGUGAAAGAGUUUAACAGAAGUAGUAUUUGGAGAAAAAGGGGAAUUUCUCGAGUACCAGUUGUGUAUCAACUG